rnacentral:tRNA from 1 species
GCAGGGAAGAGCAGUGGCAGUUCGCUUGGUUCAUAACCAAGCGAACUCGAUUCAACUCUGCUCUCUGCUACCA